rnacentral:rRNA from 1 species
GCCCAUUGGGCAACCGCGCGAACGGCGAACCCUAGCCCCAAUCCACAGCCUACACGCCCCCUCACUCCUCGCUCCUACUCCCAUCCUCCCCCCCUCUGUCCGCCGCCACGCUCCUCCUCCCUUCCUCCCCCCUCUGUCCGCCGCCACGCUCCUCCUCCCUUCCUCCCCCCUCUGUCCGCCACCACGCUCCCUCCCUCUCAGCCCUCGUCGCCACGGGCUCCGCCCUAGGUGCCUUGCUGCCCACUGCUCCACCUCCACCACCUCACCUCUUUUUCCUCCUCGUCGUCCCAUCGCUCGCGCGCAGGUCGCCGUCGUGGGGGACAGGAAAGUGGCGGGAUGGGGUGGCCAUGAGUGCUUCAUAUCCCGACGGCGCCUCCUCCUCACAGCAUCGUCGCAGGCGCACCUUCUUCUCCUUCCUCCUCCCUCCCUCAUCACCACAUGCACCAGUCCCCUCCCUCGUCCAUGAUGGCCGCCCCCACAUGAAUCUCCCAGGCAGGGGAAGAAGGCCAUGGCGAGUUAGAGGCUACAGACGGAAGUAACAGGGGUGGGUGGAGCAGCUGAUGCGGAUGGGGUCGGUGCUUGAGGGAGGGUUACCGACCGGAGCAACAGGAGCAGCAAGCUCGACGAGGUUCAGAUUGGAUACAAAUGGUUCACCAAAGACAGAGCAUGAGCAACAGCGAGUGGCUGGGCUGUGCAAUUUUUCUCCCGUCGAGGGGAGCCUUGGCGCAGUGGUAAAGCUGCUGCCUUGUGACCAUGAGGUCAUGGGUUCAAGUCCUGGAAACAGCCUCUUACAGAAAUGUAGGGAAAGGCUGCGUACUAUAGACCCAAAGUGGUCGGACCCUUCCCUGGACCCUGCGCAAGCGGGAGCUACAUGCACCAGGGACAAGGAGCUGUAGCGUCAUGGAUUGGAGCAAAGGGGAGGUCCUGAUGGCUGAAGAUGGUGUGCACGGGAGGAGCUCAAAGCGGCAUUCCCAUGGAGGGAUGGCUGAUGUCAAGGUGCUAAAAUCUUAUGUGUCAAGGGCAUUGUGAUGGCGCGAUCCAUGUCUCCUACGAGCGCUCGACAUCCCGUAGCCCCAAAGAGGAGGGCUCCAAGGUUGGACAACAAGUUUCACUGGAUGAAAGCAUUUCCCUUCUAAAACAGAGUGUUGCUGACAUGAAUGCACAAGUUAGUCUUGAUACUAAGAUGGUCAUGGAAUUGCUUGAUCUAUGCUAGGUCAACAUGUCAGCCAACCACUUAAAAAUAAUCAAUUGCAUUUCUUCCUCUGAAAGAACCUUCCCCACUCGCUCCUGAACCUUAUAAUGUGCCUUUGUGUGUAUAUUUAAUCAUUCACGAAAACCUGAUUUCUAUUUUAUGGUCUGAUUGGAGAGGACUGAUAAUCGUGAGCCAAAUAACAUGUGCAUUUGUUGUGACUAAAUACUACACCAAAUAUAU